GGGAGAUUGAAUGAGAAAAAAAAAUUCUAUUUUCUUUCCCUCUGCGUGUUCUCUUCUUCCUCCCCUCUUUGUCUACUAAUCUUCUUCUUUCCUCCCUCUCUUCUUUCUUUUUCUCCCUUCACCCUUCCACCUUACUUCUAUCUCUCUUCUGAAAUUGCCAUUACAUUUGCACAAAAACAAAACUCUCCAGCAGCAACACAGAGUUCUCUCAAGGUCUGAAGUUGACAAACAAAGGCUCAGAGAAUCCCACCAAUCUACAAGAUCCCAGCACAAUGCCUUCCUCUCCAUGCCUGCACCCUCCCUACGCCUUCCUCAGCCGACUACAGAUCUAUUUUCAAUGCCCCCUUAUUUUCUAUUCUCUCAAAUUACCAUCUUCCUUUGAUAGAAUCAAUCCCGUCUCAACUGCUGAAUUGAUAUUGUAGGAUGGAUCUUUGUAAGUUUGGAUCAGAUCCUGUGACCUUGAACAAUGGAA
rnacentral:lncRNA from 1 species